UACAGAGGGUGCGAGCGUUAAUCGGAAUUACUGGGCGUAAAGCGCGCGUAGGCGGCAUUGCAAGUCGGGUGUGAAAUCCCCAGGCUUAACCUGGGAACUGCAUUCGAGACUGCAUUGCUAGAGUAUGGGAGAGGGAAGUGGAAUUUCCGGUGUAGCGGUGAAAUGCGUAGAUAUCGGAAGGAACAUCAGUGGCGAAAGCGACUUACUGGACACAUAUUGACGCUCAGGUGCGAAAGCGUGGGGAGCAAACAGG
rnacentral:rRNA from 1 species